rnacentral:rRNA from 1 species
CCCUUAGAUGUCCUGGGCCGCACGCGCGCUACACUGAGUGUCUGAGAUACGAGUCUGCCUGGUCCGGCAAGGUCUAGGUAAUCGCUAAAAGACACAUCAUGCUUGGGAUAGAUUAUUGCAAAUAUUAAUCCUGAACGAGGAAUUCCUAGUAAGCGCAAGUCAACAGCUUGCGUUGAUUACGUCCCUGCCCUUUGUACACACCGCCCGUCGCUACUACUGAUUGGAUGUUUAAGCGAGGUUCUCGAACUGCUAGCGACUUAGCUUCGGUGAGGUCGCAGUGUGGGGAGUGAACCUAGCUUUGGUGUCUAGAGGAAGUAAAAGUCGUAACA